rnacentral:rRNA from 1 species
CCUACGGGGUGCAGCAGUGGGGAAUAUUGCACAAUGGGCGCAAGCCUGAUGCAGCCAUGCCGCGUGUAUGAAGAAGGCCUUCGGGUUGUAAAGUACUUUCAGCGGGGACGAUGAUGACGGUACCCGUAGAAGAAGCCCCGGCUAACUUCGUGCCAGCAGCCGCGGUAAUACGAAGGGGGCUAGCGUUGUUCGGAAUUACUGGGCGUAAAGCGCGCGUAGGCGGAUAGAUAAGUCAGAGGUGAAAUCCCGGGGCUCAACCCCGGAAUUGCCUUUGAUACUGUUUAUCUUGAGUGCAGAAGAGGUAAGUGGAAUUCCGAGUGUAGAGGUGAAUUUCGUAGAUAUUCGGAGGAACACCAGUGGCGAAGGCGGCUUACUGGUCUGCAACUGACGCUGAGGCGCGAAAGCGUGGGGAGCAGACAGGAUUAGAUACCCCGGUAGUC